rnacentral:lncRNA from 1 species
UUUUCUUAAUUUUUAUUAGUAUUUCAUAUUUCUUCAUUUUUCAAGGUUUCCUAGUUCUCUGGGUCACUGUCCCCUGGGCAGGCUAGAGUUGAUUAGUGUUGUUCUUACUAGGUGGGGGCCCCUAGAUCUGAACACCGUUUCCACUGUCAUCUGACCAGUCCAUAUCCUCAUUUGAAUAAUGUGCUUCUAGCGAUGCAGACUAACUGUAAUUAUGAAAAUAGUUAACCCUUAUUGAAUUUGUUUAUGUACCAGGCCCUGUGCCAAGCGCUUUCUGGAAGAACCACAUGUGAAAGGUAUUUUUGUAUCUUUUUUUGUACAUGAAUCAUUGGAAGCUUAAAGAAGUUGGUUAACUUGGCCAAGGACACAGUGAUCCAAGCCCAGGGCACUUGGCCAUGAGGAUGUAUUAUAUUUCCUUCCCUUUGCACCCACCUAUGACACACGUCUGACCAUUUAAGCCUUUGGCUUCAGCAAGAUGGAAAGCAAUUUGUCUUCUCCUAAAGAUCAAAGCCUGCUCUGACCCUGUGGGAAAUACACUUACCAUUUACCCAGACAAUUACUUUCCCCAGGUUCCAGGAGGUGCCAAAUCUCCCCUUUUUCUCCUUCCAGACAAUCACAGCCCUCAUUAAGCCCUUCCUGUUUGCACUCUCAUUUCCUACAUAAAUUCCUAUCAAGGUUACCAGCCCUCCCCAGUUUAUUCCUUUCUCUCUUUCCCAGCCAUGGCCUCUCAGCCACCAGUCACCUCUUCCCCCAACCCCCUGACCUCCCACUUCUCUUCUCAAUUCAACUGCUCUUCAGGAUUUCUGGUUGCACUACCUCUGGAGACAAGACUCUAGCAUUUGUUCUUUAUAGUAAUGUCAUUGGAUUGAGGAUACUUGUUUGCAGAGGAGGCAAGAAUGCGUUGUUCCGUUUUUGAAUUCCACACAUCUAAUAUGGAGCCUGAGCCACAGGGCUCAAAAUGUUAAGUAAACAAAUGAAUGGGAAAUUAAUAAGAAGAAUGCAUUGGCAAGACCGUGAAGAAGGCCUGCCAUGGGAAGCUUUGGGAAGAAGCCAGCUGCCAUGUUGUGAGAACUCUCAAGCAGCUGUGUGGAGAGAUCCAUGUGGUGAGGAACUGAAGCCUCCUACCCACCAUCAAGUCAGUGGCUCACUACUGUUGCAGUGAAUUCUCCAGCCCAUGAAGACUUUAGAUGAUUUACCCAACAUCUUGAUUAUAGCCUCAUGGAUUCCCUGAGCCAGAACAACCCAGCUAAGCCUCUCCUGAAUUCCUUACCUACAGAAACUGUGAGAUAAUAAAUAUUUAUUCUUUUAAGCCAUCAAAUUUUGGGUAAUUUAUUAUGCAGUAAUAUGUAACUAAUAUAGAUAAAAAUAUUCAGUUUGAAGGAAAGAAGAAAAAUAACUUACAAUAAACUCAAGAAAUAAAAUAAAAU